AACGAACGCUGGCGGCAUGCCUAACACAUGCAAGUCGAACGAGACCUUCGGGUCUAGUGGCGCACGGGUGCGUAACGCGUGGGAACCUGCCCUUAGGUUCGGAAUAACUCCCCGAAAGGGGUGCUAAUACCAGAUAAUGUCUUCGGACCAAAGAUUUAUCGCCUUUGGAUGGGCCCGCGUUGGAUUAGCUAGUUGGUAGGGUAAAAGCCUACCAAGGCGACGAUCCAAAGCUGGUCUGAGAGGAUGAUCAGCCACACUGGGACUGAGACACGGCCCAGACUCCUACGGGAGGCAGCAGUGGGGAAUAUUGGACAAUGGGCGAAAGCCUGAUCCAGCAAUGCCGCGUGAGUGAUGAAGGCCUUAGGGUUGUAAAGCUCUUUUACCCGGGAUGAUAAUGACAGUACCGGGAGAAUAAGCUCCGGCUAACUCCGUG
rnacentral:rRNA from 1 species